GUGCCAGCAGCCGCGGUAAUACGGAGGGUGCAAGCGUUAUCCGGAUUCACUGGGUUUAAAGGGUGUGUAGGCGGGCUAUUAAGUCAGUGGUGAAAUCUCAGGGCUCAACCCUGAAACUGCCAUUGAUACUAUUAGUCUUGAAUAUCGUUGAGGUUGGCGGAAUAUAUCAUGUAGCGGUGAAAUGCAUAGAUAUGAUAUAGAACACCGAUUGCGAAGGCAGCUAACUAAGCGAUGAUUGACGCUGAGGCACGAAAGCGUGGGGAUCAAACAGGAUUAGAUACCCUGGUAGUCC
rnacentral:rRNA from 1 species